AUCGCUUCUCGGCCUUUUGGCUAAGAUCAAGUGUAGUACCUGCUCUGGCAUGGGGAGGGGGUGCAUUCAUGCUAAGGAUGCAUCCGCAACAGUUCCUUCCUCAUCGCUGGGCAGGGAGGCACUUGAUCCUCUGGCCAAAGGCUAGGCAUUUGAAUUGGGCCCGCUAUGCGCCCCAGGACUUGCACCCCUGGGGUGCCUGAAGACCA
rnacentral:snRNA from 1 species